AGCACUCUAGGUCAUUUUUCAUGCCGCGACAGGUGUCACGUGUUCCACAAAUGGCAUCAGAGCCUAACUCAUGUUCAAAGACUAUUCAUCUCAGGAGGAGGAUAAAUUCCAACACUUAUUCAUAUAAGAGAUCAUUCCUAAACACGCAUCCACCGUUUAAUUGGGAUCGGUUUGAGUUUUGGAGAGCAAGGUUUAAAAUAUUUAUUCAAAGUUUUGAUUUUGAAUUAUGGUAAACAAUGAUCAAUGGU
rnacentral:lncRNA from 1 species